CCACUUUUUUCUUUGACUAUGUUGUUCAGUAUCUACAUGUCGAGCAUGGUUAUAUUUUGCGUUUGUCUUACAAGACAUGUUAUAUCGUUUGCGUGCGCUUGUUCUACAUUAGUUUUACUGGGUCCUGGACAUGCUUAACAUGCUUAUUUUGUGGACUGGGUAAGAAACAUUUUUAUUGUUUUUUGUUUUAUUAAGGGAUUAGCUACCGGGGUUCAUGGGGUUAUUUUUUUCAUUUGCUUUCUUGGGAUUCCUUUAUGUAAUCCGAGAGUCAUAAAUAUCGAAUAGGAUAGCAAGGAUAGCAUAAAGUGACACUUAAAAUCCAAAAAGUCGAGGGCGAAAGCCACUGUGACACCAUUGUUAUGCUCUAUUAGUAAUCUGUAUUAUGUAAAAAUCGUCUGUAAAUACAGCAUGUUUCCUAGCGGAGGUAUACAUAUCAACAUAGUUAUAAAUUACAGUUUGUUAAACCACACACUUAUUUUUUUAAAUAAAAUUAUUCACGACAUAUGAGUGGGCAGACAAUGGAGGUCGACAGACCUGGUGAGAAUUUCUUCUGAGUAGUAUUUUAUUUAGUUGUAAUUCAAUCAAUAAUUUGCUUCUUGAAAUUUAGUAAUGAAUUUCUUGUUUUACUUUAUAAAUUUCAGAUCCUGCCUUUACCUGCCCCCUCCUAUGUGGUGUAUGUGGUACUGCUGAGCUUGUAUGUGAUCUGAACCAUUGUAAAGGUUGCAGUUCAAGGGCCUGAGGUGGAAGCAGAAUUUGUGAGGAUUACUACUGCUCCACUUGACCAAUACACUGACCAG